AUACGGAGGAUGCAAGCGUUAUCCGGAUUUAUUGGGUUUAAAGGGUGCGUAGGCGGACUAUUAAGUCAGUGGUGAAAUCCUGCAGCUUAACUGCAGAACUGCCAUUGAUACUGAUAGACUUGAGUUUGGUUAAGGUAGGCGGAAUGUGUAAUGUAGCGGUGAAAUGCUUAGAUAUUACACAGAACACCAAUUGCGUAGGCAGCUUACUGAGCCGAUACUGACGCUGAGGCACGAAAGCGUGGGGAUCGAACAGGAUUAGAUACCCUGGUAGUCCACGCCGUAAACGAUGAUUACUCGCUGUUGGCGAUACACAGUCAGCGGCUAAGCAAAAGCAAUAAGUAAUCCACCUGGGGAGUACGGCCGCAAGGUUGAAACUCAAAGGAAUUGACGGGG
rnacentral:rRNA from 1 species